CAGGAUGAACGCUAGCGGCAGGCCUAACACAUGCAAGUCGAGGGGUAAGUGUUCAGCUUGCUGAACACACGACCGGCGCACGGGUGAGUAACGCGUUUGCAAUUUACCCUAACUGGAAGAUAGCCCGAAGAAAUUCGGAUUAAUACUCCAUAAUAUUAGGAAUUCGCAUGAUUUCCUAAUUAAAGCUCCGGCGGUUAGAGAUGAGCAUGCGUGUCAUUAGCUAGUUGGUAAGGUAACGGCUUACCAAGGCGACGAUGACUAGGGGGUCUGAGAGGAUGGUCCCCCACACUGGUACUGAGACACGGACCAGACUCCUACGGGAGGCAGCAGUGAGGAAUAUUGGGCAAUGGGCGCAAGCCUGACCCAGCCAUGCCGCGUGCAGGAUGACUGCCCUAUGGGUUGUAAACUGCUUUUAUACGGGAAGAAUGGUUCCUACGUGUAGGGAUUUGACGGUACCGUAAGAAUAAGCAUCGGCUAACUCCGUGCCAGCAGCCGCGGUAAUACGGAGGAUGCAAGCGUUAUCCGGAUUCAUUGGGUUUAAAGGGUGCGCAGGCGGAAUAUUAAGUCAGUGGUGAAAUCCUGCAGCUUAACUGUAGAACUGCCAUUGAUACUGAUAUUCUUGAGUAUAGUUGAGGUGGGCGGAAUGUGUAAUGUAGCGGUGAAAUGCUUAGAUAUUACACAGAACACCGAUUGCGAAGGCAGCUCACUAAACUAAUAUUGACGCUGAGGCACGAAAGCGUGGGGAGCGAACAGGAUUAGAUACCCUGGUAGUCCACGCUGUAAACGAUGAUCACUCGCUGUUGGCAAUACAUCGUCAGCGGCUGAGCGAAAGCAUUAAGUGAUCCACC
rnacentral:rRNA from 1 species